UCAGAAACACCCCAGAGUCUGC
rnacentral:miRNA from 1 species